GAAGGUGGCGGAAUUGGUAGACGCGCUAGCUUCAGGUGUUAGUGUCUUAACGGACGUGAGGGUUCAAGUCCCUCU
rnacentral:tRNA from 1 species